UUCUGUCUGCAAACAACUUCAAGAAUGUGUAAGUCAAUGACUCUCACAUUUCAGACUAAGAAGAGCUUUGUUUCGAAUCUGUCAGCUCAUUAACGUUGAAGCCAAAUUUAAAAAACAAACAAAAACAAAAAAAACAGUAAUUGUUUGGUGACAGUCAUGGAUGACAUGAUUGGAAUCUUUGUUUGUGCCAUCGUCGCGUUGUUGCUUUUCAAGUUAAUUUACAUGGCGGAAAACAAUUAACAACUUAACAAAUAAAAGCAUUUGAAGAGGUAGCCCAAAAGUGAACGCCGACUGUUGUUUUCCUAACGCCGUUCUACGUUGUUUGAAAAAAUCAAAGCUCUUUUCUAUAUUUAAACAGCAAAACUCUAAAAUUAAAAGGGCAACUAAUGUAAGAUGGAAACCCGUUGGAUUGCGGAUUUGGUUGUUGCGGAAGGGACAAGAAAACGAUUAUAAUGUGACGCGAUCAUCACAACAACAUCGCACUUUGAAUGCCAACGUUCUUCCAAUUUUCUCAUCAUUUUCUUCCAUGUUAUUUGACUUGAAUUUGCAAACUGUUUUGACUUGGUAAAACACGGUACAGGGGCAUUUCUACCUUA
rnacentral:lncRNA from 1 species